rnacentral:rRNA from 1 species
GAUGAACGCUGGCGGCGUGCCUAAUACAUGCAAGUCGAGCGAACAGACGAGGAGCUUGCUCCUCUGACGUUAGCGGCGGACGGGUGAGUAACACGUGGAUAACCUACCUAUAAGACUGGGAUAACUACGGGAAACCGGAGCUAAUACCGGAUAAUAUAUUGAACCGCAUGGUUCAAUAGUGAAAGACGGUUUUGCUGUCACUUAUAGAUGGAUCCGCGCCGCAUUAGCUAGUUGGUAAGGUAACGGCUUACCAAGGCGACGAUGCGUAGCCGACCUGAGAGGGUGAUCGGCCACACUGGAACUGAGACACGGUCCAGACUCCUACGGGAGGCAGCAGUAGGGAAUCUUCCGCAAUGGGCGAAAGCUUGACGGAGCAACGCCGCGUGAGUGAUGAAGGUCUUCGGAUCGUAAAACUCUGUUAUUAGGGAAGAACAAAUGUGUAAGUAACUAUGCACGUCUUGACGGUACCUAAUCAGAAAGCCACGGCUAACUACGUG